UACGUAGGGUGCGAGCGUUGCCCGGAUUUAUUGGGCGUAAAGGGCGCGUAGGCGGCCACGCACGUCCGUUGUGAAAUCGCCCGGCUCAACUGGGCGGGGUCAGCGGAUACGGUGUGGCUAGAGCAAGCUAGGGGGCAAUGGAAUUCCCGGUGUAGUGGUGGAAUGCGUAGAUAUCGGGAGGAACACCAGUGGCGAAGGCGGUUGCCUGGAGCUUUGCUGACGCUGAGGCGCGAAAGCGUGGGGAGCAAACGGG
rnacentral:rRNA from 1 species